rnacentral:lncRNA from 10 species
CGCUGGCCCUGUGGAAAAUGCAGGGAGCAGGGACCAUUCCCGAAAUCCCCACUCAGCACCAACCACGGAAGGAGCAGCACACACUUACUUCUCUGUGCAGUUGGAAGAUGCAAAAUGGAAGCUCAGUGUUCGAUGGUUCAUCCAAGGAGAGGUACAGGGAUGGGAUUUGAGUCCAGGUCCGGGUGACCCGGGUCCUCUCAGAGGCCUGUCUUCUGGGGUUCCACAGCCUUGCCCCUCUGGAACAGAGAACAGGAUGCAGGGGUGGGGGCAGAUAAAGCGUUCUGUGCAAGAGACAGGCUUGACAGGCCUGGGGGCGGUCUGCUGAAAGGGACCCCUGGAGCAGCCCAGGGCCGACUGGAGGCCCUUGGGGAUGGGGAGGACGUUCACUACCAGAGGGAGAGGCAAGGUGGGGAGGCCGCAGGCCCCUUCUCGGCCCCUCUGUCUGCUGUAUCUCCACCCUCUCUCCCUGUGACCAGGCCUGGAAGGGAUGGGCUCUGGGCCAAGCCCUGCUCUUGGCACAAACUCUCCACCCCACCCUGGAGGCGCUUGUUAGUGCUUUGCUUAAAAGUAGGCUGAGAAGUCCGAGCAAAGAUGGGAAGCUUUGUUUUCAAAUAUAAUGGGAAGGGUGUGUGGAAACAGACCUGGCAAAACAAAGGCAGAUUGAUGUUUCUGUUUGUGAUACCAGUGGAGAGAGGAGGGCACAAGCAGGCUGGAGUGCUAUGGCACAGUCUCAGCUCACUGCAAACUCUGCCUCCCGGGCUCAAGCAAUUCUCCUGCCUCAGCCUCCCGAGCAGCUGGGAUUACAGUUUGCCUCAACAGAACGUAAGCCCAAGCAGGCCCGUACCGAGAACUCAAUAGACACAAGCAUGGGAGGAAUGAGGGACUCCGGAGGCAAACGUUGGUGGAGGCGCUUGGACGAGGCACUGCAGCCAGCAGCGAGCCAGGGAAGGCUCCGAGCAGAAGAGGGGCCUGAGGGAAGGCACACAGGGGCGCUCAGAGGGAGCCCAGAGUCAGACACAGGAAAAAACCAGCUCAGCCCAGCCUUCUGUUAUUCAACCCCUCCAUGCUCUGUGGGAAGAGGGUACACAGAAUCCCUGAAUUCAGUCAUUAAUAGCAGAUGCAGAGACCUUUCUAACUUGGAGGCUUAGAUGUCAAAUACAUGGUUUUAACGAAAGUGAAGUCAAUUAGUAUGUUCUUGUGUCUUACUCAACUUGUGUGUGCGCAAGCUUGUGUUAUUAACCUGUUGAGAAAGCCACAGGCGCUGAAGAACCAGAGAAGCGCCGGGGCUCCCAGGGGCUCUCUUUGGAGCCUUCAGUGCCCUGGACAGUGAAACAGCCUCCAUCUCUUUCACAGUUGGUGCUGUACUAGG